UGCGCCCUUGCCCUGUGGGUCCCGGGACCUCAACCUCUAGAGUGUUGGGAGGGAGGGGUGCCGAGGGCGGGGCGGCGCCGGCGUUUCCGGGAAGCUGCAGAUAGAAGGGACAGGAAAGACACUACAGCACCACAUUUCUGCUUAUGAAGCUUCCCAUUCCCAUGAUGAGCCCAUGUGAUCAGGGGCUUGAAUCCACGGCCUCGCACAGACUGGCAACUCAGCAACUAAGAAGUGGAAUUUCUGGGAGACAGGAGACUCCUCUGUUGACCAGCUGGGACAUAAGAACUUUCCGUUGCCUUGCCAAACCUUCUUUAGGUAACAUGGCAGUCUAGGAUAUUCCCAGGCAGCUGGACCCCUCCACCACCAUCACCCUGUAUUGAGGUAUUUCUCCUAAAAAUACAAAAAGCAUGGGGGCUGAAUAUUGGAGCACCUGGUUGAGUGCACGUUACGAUGUGUAAUGGUACAACCCCCUCCCCCGUCCCCACCUGCAGGGGGAAAGCUUUGCAAGUGGUAAAGCAGUGCUGCAGGUGUCUCUCUGUCUCUCUCCUUCUCUCCCUUCCCCUUCUCACUCUAUUUCUGGUUGUCUCUAUCCAGUACAUGAAUAAAGAUAAUUUUUUUAAGUAUACAUAUUUAAUCCAUCUUGAUUUCCAGGGUUGUAAAAAUAGGAAUUUGGGACAAGGUUAUCCACU